UGGGGAAUAUUGCACAAUGGGCGAAAGCCUGAUGCAGCAACGCCGCGUGAGUGAUGAAGGUCUUCGGAUUGUAAAGCUCUGUCUUUUGGGACGAUAGUGACGGUACCAAAGGAGGAAGCCACGGCUAACUACGUGCCAGCAGCCGCGGUAAUACGUAGGUGGCGAGCGUUGUCCGGAUUUACUGGGCGUAAAGGGUGCGUAGGCGGAUGUUUAAGUGAGAUGUGAAAUACCCGGGCUUAACUUGGGUGCUGCAUUUCAAACUGGAUAUCUAGAGUGCAGGAGAGGAGAAUGGAAUUCCUAGUGUAGCGGUGAAAUGCGUAGAGAUUAGGAAGACACCAGUGGCGAAGGCGAUUCUCUGGACUGUAACUGACGCUGAGGCACGAAAGCGUGGGUAGCAAACAGGAUUAGAUACCCUGGUAGUCCACGCCGUAAACGAUGAGUACUAGGUGUAGGAGGUNUCGACCCCUUCUGUGCCGCAGUAAACACAUU
rnacentral:rRNA from 1 species